AUCUGCACACACACGAGCCGUGGGAGCUCCAUGGUACGUGCUUGCUGUGCCUACUUGCCACUGAAAUUAAAUUCCUUAAUUGCUUAAUUUACUUGAUUGUUAGCUCUACGUCCAUCUCCCUCUCUCGCAAGCAAGACUCUGGCUAAUUAACUCAGUUUCGUGUCAUGGAAUGAGUGAUUAGGCACGCAACCUCAUGCAUGAUCAUAUCAAUUCUUCACGCAUAAUAUAUAGUAUAUGGAUGCGUUUGGUUGCCUGGCCCAGCGCACGGCCAGGUCCAUUUGAAACAAGCAUGCCAUGUUUGGUAUCCUGGCCCAGCUUGAGGGCCUGGUUGAGGCGAGCCGUAUCUUCCUUCGUGGCCAGGCCCAAUUGAAACGCUGGUAAUUUCCUUCGCGCAUCAGCCUGGCCCGUGCUCGCCCACUGCGCUAGGGGAGUUAUUUGAAUUUGUAACAUUUUCGUCACGCGGCUUCGCCACUUUAUUACUCCGCAGCCGUACUUCGCCAGUUUGGUAUUAUGGAGGAAACACCCGCGCCAGUUUGGUACUGUUAAUCUACCAGCCUCUUUAACCUUUCCUUAGCUACGGUAAAAAUCAAUUUUGCCCCUCGCUGUACCAAUUGGGUGCCACAGAGUCGUGAACCUGAGGAGUAAAAAUCAAUUCUAACUUCCCUCGUGCUGCUCAUCUUCAACAAGCUGGCCGACGCGCGGUCGCUGGGGCGCUGCUCCGCGGUGUCGCGCCGCUUCAGCGCGCUGGUCCCGCUCGUGGACGACGCCUGCCUGCGCAUCGACCGCGUCAUCCCCGCCGACGCCGCCGACGCGGGGGCGCCGCGCCCGCGCGCCGCGCUCUCGCACCUCCUCAAGUCCGUGCUGCUCGCCGUGCUCAAGCCCUUCGCGCACUGCGACGCCAAGUCCGCGUCGCCGCAAAAGCACGCGCAGCAGCAGCACCACUCGCCCGCCCAGGUGCUGAGGAACUUCAGCAGCAUCCGCAGCCUCCGGAUGGAGCUCCCGGUCUCCGACGUGGGCACCGACGACGGCGUCGUGCUCAGGUGGAAGGCCGUGUUCGGCAGCACGCUGCAGAGCUGCGUCAUCCUCGGCGGCACCAGGGUGGACCGCGCCGCGGCCGCGGGACCGCCGCACGCCCCCUCCUCCGCUCCCCCGCGGGCGACGACGACGGCGGCAGCAUCCCGGAGUCCCUGUACACCAACGGCGGCCUCAAGCUGCGCGUCGUCUGGACCAUCAGCUCCCUCAUCGCCGCGGCCACCAGGCACUACCUCCUCCGCGAGAUCGUCAAGGAGCACCCCACCCUGGAGCGGGUGGCGCUGACGGACGCCGGCGGGCAGGGCACGCUCAGCAUGACGGACGCCGUAGGAGAGGAUGGCGUCGACGAGGAGGACGGGGGCUCAUCGGGGAUAACGCAGUCGACGCGGACGAGGACGGAGUCGACAAGGGGCACGAGCUCGUGGAAGCGGCGGGAGAUGAGGGAGCAGCAGCCGAGCGCCUUGACGUUGCCGAUGCGAUUGAAGAUGACGAGGAGGAGCGCGUCCGGGAGGCGGUCGAAUUGGUCAUCACCAGCGGCCCCCGAGAGCCAGCGCUCGUCGCCGCCGAGGUCGCACCGCCAGCGGCGGGAUCCCGCGGGAUCUUCGGACAUCGGUGGCGGCAGGGCAGACUGGAUCUGAAGAGGAAUGCAGGGAGGGAGGCGUGGCACAGAGUGAACGAGUUAUGUGGCCGCGCGGAAUGCAGACGGCGGCGCGAGCGAGUCUCCGGCGCGGGCAAGUCUCCCGUCUGUUCUCUCUCGCAGCUAGGCUCGCAGCUAGGGGUAGAUUAGUACAUAGGUAUACACAAGCUUCAUCAAACGCAACAAAACAGACGCUUACAGAGCACGGGACGUUAACAGUACCAAACUAGCGCGUGUGUUUUCUCCAUAAUACCAAACUGGCGAAGCACGGCUGCGGAGUAAUAAAGUGGCAAAGCCGCCCGACGAGAAUGUUACAAAUUCAAAUAACUCGCGCUAGGGUUCACUCGUCUCUCGCCUCUCGAGUUCACUCGCAACCGCCGCCGUCGCGGCUCUCGCCUCUCUCUAGAGUUCACUCGCCUCUCCGGUCGGGCUGCGCGACGCAGGCCGGGUGGGCGUGGAGCCCCAUCAACGCGUCGGCGUCGCCCAGCGCCGGAGGAGAUGACCCCUGCCGCGGGAGAAAAGGAGGUCGUCGGGUCGAUGCCCCGUUCACCGAGGAGAUGCGGGCGGCGGCCAUGCGGCUGCACUCCAGGGACCAGGCCAGGGACGGCACGAAGGAGGCGCCCCUGGAGCCGCCCAUCGCCUAGUGGCAGACCACCGUCGAGGGGUACCUCCGCUUCCUCGUCGACAGCAAGCUCAUCUUCCAGACGCUUGAGGCCAUCGUCGACUGUGUCGCCGUCCCCUGGUGUGAGUGCAGUGCGGUGAUACUCUUUUCCUCGGUGUCUUUUCGAGUUUUUCGUACAGUACAACGAUGCUGCGUGCAUGCUUGCUGAUUCAUUUGAUACGUGUUUCCAGAUGCCGAGUUCAGGGAUACUGGUUUGGAGAGAUCGGAGCCGCUCGGCAGGGAUCUGGAAUGGUUCAGGUAGCAAGGUCACGCAGUUCCAGAACCAUCUGCUCCGGGCAUUGCGUAUGCUUCCUUUCUGGUAGAGCUAUCUGAGAAGAACCCCUGGCAUUUGUUUGCCAUUUCUACUACGUGUACGUCGCUCAUGCUGCCGGAGGCCGAAUUUGUUUAAUAACGUUUAAAAUUUUGAAAUUUGGCGAUAACUGUAUCUAACACAUCAAAAUUGGUGGUAAUUCAAUUGGGCCAAGUUAAAAAAAUGAGAACCAAACAAUGUGUUAUAUGAGCCAGGUUUAUUUUGACCAAGGAACCAAACAUUUUAGGUUGGCUUAUUAUAUACGGGCUCCCUUGAGCCUGGUUCUCUCACUGAGCCAGGCUCAAGCUGGACCAGGCAACCAAACAUAUCCUAUAUGACCGAUCAUUGUCGGCUCGUCUGAGGGCUAGGCUAGUGGCAGCUAGCUUACGUUAAUUUCAUCCCAACAGUACGCUAACUACAGGGUUUCUUGCUUCUAAUACAAGUCAUUAUUCCCAUCCACGCGUGUGAAAAUCAACACAAACGCUAAAAUUUCAUCGUCGUACGUGUGAUGAUUGCUUUUCUACUAACGCGCAACUGAUGAGUGAUGAAUCCAUGGUCGCAGACGUGGCGAAGCUGAGCACGAACGAGUGGUACUUCUUCAGCUUCCGCGACCGCAAGUACGCCACGGGGCUGCGCACCAACCGCGCCACCAAGUCUGGCUACUGGAAGGCCACCGGCAAGGACCGC
rnacentral:lncRNA from 1 species